rnacentral:rRNA from 1 species
ACUCCUACGGGAGGCAGCAGUGGGGAAUAUUGGACAAUGGGCGAAAGCCUGAUCCAGCAAUGCCGCGUGUGUGAAGAAGGCCUGAGGGUUGUAAAGCACUUUCAAUCGUGAAGAAAAGUUGCAGGCUAAUACCCUGUGACCUUGACGUUAACGAUACAAGAAGCACCGGCUAACUCCGUGCCAGCAGCCGCGGUAAUACGGAGGGUGCAAGCGUUAAUCGGAAUUACUGGGCGUAAAGCGUGCGUAGGCGGUUUGUUAAGUCAGAUGUGAAAGCCCCGGGCUUAACCUGGGAACUGCAUUUGAUACUGGCAAGCUAGAGUAUGGUAGAGGGGGGUAGAAUUCCUGGUGUAGCGGUGAAAUGCGUAGAUAUCAGGAGGAAUACCAGUGGCGAAGGCGACCCCCUGGGCCAAUACUGACGCUGAGGUACGAAAGCGUGGGUAGCGAACAGGAUUAGAUACCCUGGUAGUC